rnacentral:rRNA from 1 species
UACGUAGGGUGCGAGCGUUAAUCGGAAUUACUGGGCGUAAAGUGUGCGCAGGCGGCCGCGCAAGUCGAGUGUGAAAGCCCCGAGCUUAACUUGGGAAUUGCGCUCGAAACUACGUGGCUGGAGUGUGGCAGAGGAAGGUGGAAUUCCAGGUGUAGCGGUGAAAUGCGCAGAUAUCAGGAGGAACACCGAUUGCGAAGGCAGCUCGCUGGGACGUUACUGACGCUGAGACGCGAAAGCGUGGGGAGCAAACAGG